rnacentral:rRNA from 1 species
GAUGAACGCUGGCGGCGUGCCUAAUACAUGCAAGUCGAGCGAACAGAUGAGGAGCUUGCUCCUCUGACGUUAGCGGCGGACGCGUGAGUAACACGUGGAUAACCUACCUAUAAGACUGGGAUAACUUCGGGAAACCGGAGCUAAUACCGGAUAAUAUAUUGAACCGCAUGGUUCAAUAGUGAAAGACGGUUUUGCUGUCACUUAUAGAUGGAUCCGCGCCGCAUUAGCUAGUUGGUAAGGUAACGGCUUACCAAGGCAACGAUGCGUAGCCGACCUGAGAGGGUGAUCGGCCACACUGGAACUGAGACACGGUCCAGACUCCUACGGGAGGCAGCAGUAGGGAAUCUUCCGCAAUGGGCGAAAGCCUGACGGAGCAACGCCGCGUGAGUGAUGAAGGUCUUCGGAUCGUAAAACUCUGUUAUUAGGGAAGAACAAAUGUGUAAGUAACUAUGCACGUCUUGACGGUACCUAAUCAGAAAGCCACGGCUAACUACGUG